GUUGAAAUAUGGUUUUAAAUUAGUAAGUUUUUAUGAUUAAAAACUUAUUAUAUUAAUCAUCAAAUAACUGUUAGGGAAAAUUUUAGUUCAUCACAAUUACGGGAGCUAUGUCUGAGUUUACAAAACAGUUAUUUUGUUGUUUUUUACAAGAAAAGUUAAAAAGCAUUACCCACCAGAAUUAUGAAGGUUUGCUUCAACACAGAGUUGUUAGUCCUAGGUCUUGGCCUUGACCUUGCCUUAAGGCCUUGGUCUUAAAACUGUUGGUCUUGGUCUUGGCCUUCAAAAAAAGUACAUAAAAUUGAAUAAUAAAAAGAUUUCAUUCUUUA